rnacentral:rRNA from 1 species
AUUGAACGCUGGCGGCAGGCCUAACACAUGCAAGUCGAACGGAGCGGCGGACGGGUGAGUAAUGUAUGGGGAACUGCCCGAUAGAGGGGGAUAACUACCGGAAACGGUGGCUAAUACCGAAUACUGUCAGAUGAGCCUAUCUUGGAUUAGCUAGUUGGUGGGGUAAAGGCUCACCAAGGCGACGAUCUGUAGCUGGUCUGAGAGGAUGAUGAGUCACACUGGUACUGAGACACUGUCCAGACUCCGACGGGAGGCAGGAGUGGGGAAUAUUGGACAAUGGGCGGAAGCCUGAUGCAGCCAUGCCGCGUGUAUGAAGAAGGUCUUCGGGUUGUAAAGGACGUUAAGUUGGGAGGCGUUACCAACAGAAUAAGCACCGGCUAACUCCGUGCCAGCAGCCGCGGUAAUUC